rnacentral:rRNA from 1 species
UACGGAGGGUGCGAGCGUUACCCGGAUUUACUGGGUGUAAAGGGCGUGUAGGCGGUCUCUCAAGUCCGAUGCUAAAGACCGAAGCUCAACUUCGGGGGUGCGUUGGAUACUGUGAGGCUAGACGGUCGGAGAGGGUAGCGGAAUUUCCGGAGUAGCGGUGAAAUGCGCAGAUACCGGAAGGAACGCCAAUAGCGAAAGCAGCUACCUGGACGAUUUGUGACGCUGAGGCGCGAAAGCGUGGGGAGCAAACCGGAUUAGAUACCCGGGUAGUCCACGCCCUAAACGAUGAGUGCUGGGUGUCCGACAUCUGUUGGGUGCCGUAGCUAACGCGUUAAGCACUCCACCUGGGAAGUACGGUCGCAAGACUGAAACUCAAAGGAAUUGACGGGGGCCCGCACAAGCGGUGGAGCAUGUGGUUUAAUUCGAAGCAACGCGCAGAACCUUACCAGGUCUUGACAUCCACGGAACCCUGGUGAAAGCCGGGGGUGCCCGCAAGGGAGCCGUGAGACAGGUGCUGCAUGGUCGUCGUCAGCUCGUGUCGUGAGAUGUUGGGUUAAGUCCCGCAACGAGCGCAACCCUUGUUGCUAGUUGCCAUCAGUUCGGCUGGGCACUCUAGCGAGACUGCCUACGAAAGUAGGAGGAAGGCGGGGAUGACGUCUGAUCCGCAUGGCCCUUACGGCCUGGGCGACACACGUGCUACAAUGCCUGCCACAAAGCGCUGCGACCCGGCAACGGGAAGCCAAUCGCAUAAAAGCACGCUCAGUUCGGAUUGGGGUCUGCAACUCGACCCCAUGAAGCUGGAAUCGCUAGUAAUCGCGGAUCAGCCAUGCCGCGGUGAAUACGUUCCCGGGCC